UACGGAGGGUGCAAGCGUUGUCCGGAUUUAUUGGGCUUAAAGGGUGCGUAGGCGGCUUUUUAAGUCAGUGGUGAAAGCCAACAGCUCAACUGUUGCAGUGCCAUUGAUACUGAAGAGCUUGAGUACAGAUGAGGUAGGCGGAAUUUAUGGUGUAGCGGUGAAAUGCAUAGAUACCAUAAAGAACACCUAUUGCGAAGGCAGCUUACUAAGCUGUAACUGACGCUGAGGCACGAAAGUGUGGGGAUCAAACAGG
rnacentral:rRNA from 1 species